rnacentral:hammerhead_ribozyme from 15 species
CCGGCGUCUAAGGUAGGCUUCCACUACAAUACUUUACUGAUGAGUCCAGUAGUGGAAGCCGGGACGAAACGCCAA